rnacentral:misc_RNA from 1 species
GAAAUGCGAUAAGUAAUGUGAAUUGCAGAAUUCAGUGAAUCAUCGAAUCUUUGAACGCAUCUUGCGCUCCUUGGUAUUCCGAGGAGCAUGCCUGUUUGAGUGUCAUUUAACUUCUCAACCACAUUGGAUAUUUUUUUUCCGAUGCCGGCUUGGAUGUGGGGGUUGUUUGCAGGCUUUUUGUAACAAAAAGGUCGGCUCCCCUGAAAUGUAUUAGUGGUAUCUGAGGCUAUUGCUAUUAGGUGUGAUAAUUAUCUAUGCCUUUUGGGUAUGCCGCAUGAACAGAUUAUGCUGCUUCUAACGAAAACUUAUUUUGAUGAAUUUGACCUCAAAUCAGGUAGGACUACCCGCUGAACUUAA